UUGUUUCCACAAACAUUGUUUUCAACUUUCCUCUGCAGAGACUUCCAGCGCUGGGCCCGGCCGCUGCAAGCCUUGUUGGGUCAGUGUGUGGGAAGUCACCAAGGUGGAGUUUGAGGCGGUCGGCCUCAACCAUGAGGGCUGUGUGAGCGGCAGGCUGGCCGUGAGCCUUCCAGGGAGUGCUGGGCAGCCUGGUGCCCCGGCUGAAGGCAAGCGGCCACCCUUAGACACCCAAAGACUGGCUGACACAAGAUCUUGCGCUGGUACUGGUGGCUGCCGUGGUGCGGACACAGGCUCAGAGCGCCCAGGUGGACCAAGGCUCUGAUGCUGGUUGCCACCUGCCUGGGAGCAGACUCACAGAGGUCAGCGCAGGGCAGCAGGACAGCGCCCUCAGCAGUGACGAGGAGUCUCUCCAUGAAAGCUGUCCCUCAAGGCACAGCAGCAGGCCACCGUCGUCCCUUGUUAUCGGGAGCACCGAGAGUAUUCCGAGGAACACUUCAAUGUCCAGGUGUGAUGAUGUCAAGCCACCACAAGCCAGGAGGGAAGUGGCUGCUGGGGCCAAGACAGCAGGUGAAGGAGAACCCAUAAGCCUCAGCUUUUCACCCCUGGACGAAGGUGUUUCUUGGCGGACAAACUCAGGAGAGUCACCAGAAAAGACCUCGGUAGAUGAUGCAAGUUUUGCUCGCUGGAGACCACAAGAGCGUUCACCCGGGCCUCACAGUGUGGGUGAGGAGAGCAGCCUGGACCAUCUCCCAAGAGCAAAGAAGACAAUCAUGAAAAAAAAGCCCACUAAUCACUGCUCCUGAAUAGAGGUCAAAGGAGUGGCCAAAAAGAGAGGUCAGUCUCGGGAGGAGAGGUGUCCAGAUACCAUCCUCUUGAAAGAGUUCAAGUCGUAAGCAGGAGGAAAUACAGAUGAAUGAAGAUUGUUCCAGAGUUUACCAGCGUGAGGAUGAAAGGUGAAGAUGCUGGUUAACUCUUGCAUAAGUGGUUUGGACAGUAUAGGGGUGAGCUUGAUUAGAAAGUCGCGUGAGGCAAGGCCGCGGGAGGGGGGGAGGCAUGCAGUUAGCAUGUUCAGAAGAGCAGUCAGCGUGAAAAUAUCGAUAGAAGAUAGAAAGCGAGGCAAUUUAUUCACAUGUGGCCAUAGUAGUAGUAGAAGAAGCAGUUGAAGUGGCAGUAGUAGUAGCAGCAGUAGUAGUAGUAGUAGUAGUAGUAGUAGUAGUAGUAGUAGUAGUAGUAGUAGCAGCAGAAAUAGCAGUAAUGAUUUAAGUAGUGGUACAGUGAAACCAUUUUAGCGAGUCCGUUGAGGCGUUGGCUUCCUUGGGUCCUGUCCUCCCCUCCGCUCUGCCACACAGUCCCAACACCUGUCCCUUCCUCUCGUGUGCUAGCUACCGGCAACACAUGAGAG